rnacentral:rRNA from 1 species
UACGGAGGGGGUUAGCGUUGUUCGGAGUUACUGGGCGUAAAGCGCGCGUAGGCGGAUUAGAAAGUUGGGGGUGAAAUCCCGGGGCUCAACCCCGGAACUGCCUCCAAAACUACUAGUCUAGAGUUCGAGAGAGGUGAGUGGAAUUCCGAGUGUAGAGGUGAAAUUCGUAGAUAUUCGGAGGAACACCAGUGGCGAAGGCGGCUCACUGGCUCGAUACUGACGCUGAGGUGCGAAAGUGUGGGGAGCAAACAGG